CGGGGUGAGUAACGCGUGGGUAACCUGCCUCAUACAGGGGAGUAACAGUUAGAAAUGGCUGCUAAUACCGCAUAAGCACACAGUGUUGCAUGACACAGUGUGAAAAACUCCGGUGGUAUGAGAUGGACCCGCGUCUGAUUAGCUAGUUGGUGGGGUAACGGCCUACCAAGGCGACGAUCAGUAGCCGACCUGAGAGGGUGACCGGCCACAUUGGGACUGAGACACGGCCCAA
rnacentral:rRNA from 1 species